GCGGGUGUAGCUCAGUUGGUUAGAGCGCCAGUUUGUGGCACUGGAGGCCGCCGGUUCAAAACCGGUCACUCGCCCCA
rnacentral:tRNA from 1 species